AUUGAACGCUGGCGGCAGGCCUAACACAUGCAAGUCGAACGAGUGGCGGACGGGUGUGUAUUGUUUUGGAAACUGCCCGAUGGGGGGGGAUAUCUCCUGGAAACGGUAGCUAAUACCCCACAUCAUCGGAUGUGUCCAGAUGGGAUUAGCUAGUAGGGGGGGUAACGGCUCACCUAGGCGACGCUCCCUAGCUGGUCUGAGAGGAUGACCCGCCACACUGGAACUGAGACACGGUCCAGACUCCUACGGGAGGAAGAAGGGGGGAAUAUUGCACAAUGGGCGCAAGCCUGAUGCAGCCAUGCCGCGUGUAUGAAGAAGGCCUUCGGGUUGUAAAGUACUUUCAGCGAGGAGGCGUUACGCGCAGAAGAAGCACCGGCUAACUCCGUGCCAGCAGCCGCGGUAAUUC
rnacentral:rRNA from 1 species